GAUGAACGCUGGCGGCGUGCUUAACACAUGCAAGUCGAACGGAAAGGCCCAAGCUUGCUUGGGUACUCGAGUGGCGAACGGGUGAGUAACACGUGGGUGAUCUGCCCUGCACUUCGGGAUAAGCCUGGGAAACUGGGUCUCAUACCGGAUAGGACCACAUUUUGGAUGGUGUGGUGGAGAGUUUUUCGGUGUUGGGUUAGCUCGCGGCGUAUCAGCUUCUUCGUGGGGUAAUGGCCUACCAAGGGGUCUACGGGUAGCCGGCCGGAGAGGGUGUACGGCCACAUUGGGACAGAGAUAAGGCACAGACUGCGACGGGAGGCAGCAGGGGGGAAUAGUGAAAAAUGGGCGCAAGCCGGAUGAAGAGACGCCGCGUGGGGGAGGACGGCCUUCGGGUUGUAAAAUCCUUUCGAAAGGGACGAAGCGUUAUGUGACGGUACCUGGAGAAGAAGCACCGGCUAACUACGUG
rnacentral:rRNA from 1 species